CACUUAUCUCUUUGUAAGAUUAUGAUUAUGGAGACGCCACUAUUUGCUGGAUAUUCUGGAAGGUUCUGAGGAUCAAAGAUAAAGAUGCUUUUCCUCAUGCAUUCAGCGUCUUUCUCUUCUUUUCUCUAAAUAUUUAGUCUUUGGUUCUCUCUCUCUUUCUCUGUCUCUUUCUGCUUUACAAACCUCUCCCUUGAAGAAGAGUAAUUUUUAUAAUAUUGUCUCUUAGAUCUAUGCAAAUGUCUCUCAUAUUUGGAAUUGAGCUUCUACGAAGGCCAGUGCCAUUUUUCUCCUGCUGUUUACUGCCCAUCUCCAUGGAAAACAAGACACAUUCCCAGAAGUGAAAGUGCAGAUUCAAAGAACCUACUCCAGGCUCCAGAAGGAGAUGAGAAGAUGAACAGAAGAGCAGAAGAAUGGCAGAAUGGCAUGGCAGAGAGAAGAAAAGGAGCAUCUGAAUGCCAAGAGGAGUUUGACUGGGUGUGGCCAGAGAGGAGUUCAGCUGCUGGAUGAUCAAACUCCAGGGGAAGAUCAUCUUCCCACUUCCUCCCUGUGCUAGUCCCCCAUCGAUCCCACUGAGAGCCACCUCUUCCACCCAAGAAAACCCCCACAUUUACCACCCUUAAGUCUGUGUGUGAGUUGAUUCUUCUGGGUUGCUGGAUAAGAGCUCCACAUACAGAAAGCUGUCACACUGGCCUUCUGCCAUUGUGAAAAGGCAGAGGGUUCACUGAGCUGGUUAACACGUAAGCCGUCUGCAGAUGGCAAAGCUAAAAGAGCGCACUGUAACACAUGUCACACCCACUUAGGCUUUGGGAGUUGCAGGCACACACCUCUAGUUGCUACCAUGGGGCCAGAGCCCCAGAGCACUCACCCUGGCUCCUGUGCCUGCCUGUCUGCGUGCUCCCCCAACUCUAAAAUGUUUGAGUGUACGGCAGCCGAAUGCAUAGGCCCCCACCCCUGUCGCAUGUUCUGCAAGUGGUUCAGGGAACUCUCCCGUUACGAUAAGGAGAAAUACAAACUUGUUGACAAUCUUAGAACAUAAUUGACUAAAGAAUGACUGAAUUUUCAACUAUUCUGUAAAUCUAAAAUUAUUCCAAAAUCAAGUUUAUUAAAAAAGAAACAAAAAGUAAGCUACCAUGUGAUGAGGGAGACAGCUCUAGUCACUGGAAAUGUUGAAACAGAGUAUAGAAAAUCUCUUGGUGGGAAGUAUGUACAAUGGACUGAAGCAUGAGUCAAUUAUCCAGUGUAUUUACUACAUUUAUAUUGACAUGUCACAGAGAGGAGGGGACAGAAAGUAUUGUGUAUGACAGAUUCAAUAUUAAAAAUUGUCAUGAUAGGUUGCAACCAACCAGGUAAAAUAUCAAAAGGAUAAACAUAAUGCCACACAUUUGGGUUUACAAUCUCAAUUGCUUUAUAUAUAUUAAAUAAAAAUGUAUAGUACAUAAUUAAU
rnacentral:lncRNA from 10 species